UCGCUGGUUCGAAUCCGGCUCGGAGGAC
rnacentral:piRNA from 1 species